UUGUUACUCCCUCCGUCCGGAAAUACUUGUCAUCAAAAUGGAUAAAAGAAGAUGUAUCUAGAUGUAUUUUAGUUCUAGAUACAUUCCUUUUUAUCCAUUUUGAUGACAAGUAUUUUCGGACGGAGGGAGUACUAC
rnacentral:pre_miRNA from 1 species